rnacentral:tRNA from 1 species
GAGGGUAUAGCUCAGUGGUACAGCACAUACAUAGCAUGCAUAAGGUCCUGGGUUCAAUCCUCAGUACCUCCU